UGCUAUAAAUUUUGAAAAUUUUGAAAGAUUUUGUCAAAAACUAUGGGAGAUACAAUAAUUUUUUGCAUAUUAAUUAGGCUUAAUUUUGAUUGAUUGCUGGCAUGUGAUUAUAGGUGGAAAUUGAAAUGUUAGCACUCAAGAAGUUAUAAUAAUUUUGCCUAGUAUCAAAAUUUAAGUUUUUAUAAUUUUUUAAAGGAAUUCUUCAUUUUUGUUGUUAUAAUAUAGAUAGUCCUGAACUUAUGAUGGGUUCCAAGAAUUUCAAACCUUGCCGUCAUAAGCCAGAAAUGUCCAAAAGUUAUGGAUUGCCUAAUGCAAAUAUUUAUUAUUACACUGUACUUUGUCAUAAUAAACUUAAUGAAUGCAAAAAUACAAAACCAGACACAAAAAGAUGUUUUCUGUAUAUCAGAUCAUUGGGUUAGGGAAUCAGGCUUAGGUCAAUUGCAUUUACUAAUAAAAGAAUAUAUCAAUGAUGUUGCUAUCAUAAGUAUGAAGUGGUCAUAAAUUGAGGAAUAUCUAUAUAGAGUAACCACUGAUAUCUGCUUUUUUGAUAAUUAC
rnacentral:lncRNA from 1 species